rnacentral:rRNA from 1 species
GACGAACGCUGGCGGCGUGCUUAACACAUGCAAGUCGAACGGAAAGGCCCUGCUUUUGUGGGGUGCUCGAGUGGCGAACGGGUGAGUAACACGUGAGUAACCUCCCCUUGACUUUGGGAUAACUUCAGGAAACUGGGGCUCAUACCGGAUAGGAGCUCCUGCUGCAUGGUGGGGGUUGGAAAGUUUCGGCGGUUGGGGGUGGACUCGCGGCUUAUCAGCUUGUUGGUGGGGUAGUGGCUUACCAAGGCUUUGACGGGUAGCCGGCCUGAGAGGGUGACCGGCCACAUUGGGACUGAGAUACGGCCCAGACUCCUACGGGAGGCAGCAGUGGGGAAUAUUGCACGAUGGGCGGAAGCCUGAUGCAGCAACGCCGCGUGCGGGAUGACGGCCUUCGGGUUGUAAACCGCUUUCGCCUGUGACGAAGCGUGAGUGACGGUAAUGUGUAAAGAAGCACCGGCUAACUACGUG